CUGAUCUACCAGUACAAAAGCUGGUAUGUACCCAUAAGACGAGAAGACCCUGCGGAGCUUUAAGUUACAGCGCUACACCAACCAAACAAAGCCCAUUAGGGCCUAUAACCAGACCACAAUAGCGUUGCACUUUAAGUUGGGGCAACUGCGGAGAAAAAUAAAACCUCCAUGAAAAUAGACUAUAACCCACCACAAAACACACCAGUUAUAUGGUAAAUAAAUUUGACCCAGCAAUGCUGAUCAUCGGACCAAGUUACCCCAGGGAUAACAGCGCCAUCCCCCUCAAGAGUCCCUAUCGCCAGGGGGGUUUACGACCUCGAUGUUGGAUCAGGACACCCAGAUGGUGUAGCCGCUAUCAAUGGUUCGUUUGUUCAACGAUUAAUGUCCUACGUGAU
rnacentral:rRNA from 1 species